rnacentral:rRNA from 1 species
GACGAACGCUGGCGGCGUGCUUAACACAUGCAAGUCGAACGGAAAGGCCCUGCUUUUGUGGGGUGCUCGAGUGGCGAACGGGUGAGUAACACGUGAGUAACCUGCCCUUGACUUUGGGAUAACUUCAGGAAACUGGGGCUAAUACCUGAUAGUAGCUCCUGCUGCAUGGUGGGGGUUGGAAAGUUUCGGCGGUUGGGGAUGGACUCGCGGCUUAUCAGCUUGUUGGUGGGGUAGUGGCUUACCAAGGCUUUGACGGGUAGCCGGCCUGAGAGGGUGACCGGCCACAUUGGGACUGAGAUACGGCCCAGACUCCUACGGGAGGCAGCAGUGGGGAAUAUUGCACAAUGGGCGGAAGCCUGAUGCAGCAACGCCGCGUGAGGGAUGAAGGCCUUCGGGUUGUAAACCGCUUUCGCCUGUGACGAAGCGUGAGUGACGGUAAUGGGUAAAGAAGCACCGGCUAACUACGUG